GAUGAACGCUGGCGGCGUGCCUAACACAUGCAAGUUGAGCGAUUCACUUCGGUGAAGAGCGGCGGACGGGUGAGUAACGCGUGGGUAACCUGCCUCAUACACAUGGAUAACAUACCGAAAGGUAUGCUAAUACAAGAUGAUAUAAGAGAUUCGCAUGGAUUUCUUAUCAAAGCUACGGCGGUAUGAGAUGGACCCGCGUCUGAUUAGCUAGUUGGUAAGGUACCGGCUUACGAAGGCGACGAUCAGUAGCCGACCUGAGAGGGCGAUCGGCCACAUUGGAACUGAGACACGGUCCAAACUCCUACGGGAGGCAGCAGUGGGGAAUAUUGCACAAUGGGCGAAAGCCUGAUGCAGCAACGCCGCGUGAGCGAUGAAGGCCUUCGGGUCGUAAAGCUCUGUCCUCAAGGAAGAUAAUGACGGUACUUGAGGAGGAAGCCCCGGCUAACUACGUGCCAGCAGCAGCCGCAGUAA
rnacentral:rRNA from 1 species